UACGUAGGGAGCGAGCGUUGUCCGGAUUCAUUGGGCGUAAAGAGCUCGUAGGCGGCUUGGUAAGUCUGCUGUGAAAUCCCCGGGCUCAACCUGGGAAUGGCAGUGGAUACUGGCAAGCUAGAGUGCGGUAGAGGGUAGUGGAAUUCCCGGUGUAGCAGUGAAAUGCGUAGAGAUCGGGAGGAACACCAGUGGCGAAGGCGGCUACCUGGACCAGCACUGACACUGAAGCACGAAAGCGUGGGGAGCAAACAGG
rnacentral:rRNA from 1 species